GGCCCUACGGGGCGCAGCAGGCGCGAAAACUUUACAAUGCGGGCAACCGUGAUAAGGGAACCUCGAGUGCCUGUAAAUGCAGGCUGUUUAGGUGUUUAAAACGCACCUGGAGAAAGGGCCGGGCAAGACCGGUGCCAGCCGCCGCGGUAAUACCGGCGGCUCGAGUGGUGGCCACUUUUAUUGGGCUUAAAGCGUUCGUAGCUGGGUUGUUAAGUCUCUUGGGAAAUCUGGCGGCUUAACCGUCAGGCGUCUAAGGGAUACUGGCAAUCUUGGAACCGGGAGAGGUGAGGGGUACUUCGGGGGUAGGAGUGAAAUCCUGUAAUCCUCGAGGGACCACCUGUGGCGAAGGCGCCUCACCAGAACGGCUUCGACAGUGAGGGACGAAAGCUGGGGGAGCAAACCGGAUUAGAUACCCGGGUAGUCCCAGCCGUAAACGAUACUCGCUAGGUGUCGGCCACGGUGCGACCGUUGUCGGUGCCGUAGGGAAGCCGUGAAGCGAGCCACCUGGGAAGUACGGCCGCAAGGCUGAAACUUAAAGGAAUUGGCGGGGGAGCACCACAACGGGUGGAGCUUGCGGUUUAAUUGGAUUCAACGCCGGAAAUCUUACCGG
rnacentral:rRNA from 1 species